AAAUAAGAAGCAAUUUUGCAUUUAAUUUCGACUUAAAAGAUAGGGAAUAAUAUUCCCCUUAUUUA
rnacentral:tRNA from 1 species